UCUGGUCCGCAUAGCCCUUAUGUCCUGGGCGACACACGCGCUACAAUGGCCGAUACAAUGGGAAGCCAAAUCGUAAGAUGGAGCAAAUCCUAAAAAGUCGGUCUCAGUUCGGAUUGAGGUCUGAAACUCGACCUCAUGAAGUUGGAUUCGCUAGUAAUCGUGGAUCAGCCAUGCCACGGUGAAUACGUUCUCGGGUCUU
rnacentral:rRNA from 1 species